CCCUGGAGCCGAUCGAAGCUGCUGCAAAUCAGAGCUGGUGGGUCAGGAGCCCGCGCUGGAGGGUCUCGAUGACCCUGCGUCAUGUGGAUGGACCACGUUUUGUUCAUCGCUCCGACAUGGACAGAUGACCUGAGCAGCUUCCCCGUCUUGGCCGCCGCAUCGGGGCGCAUCCCAUGGAUGUUUGAUGGCCGUGCUGCUGCGGCUCUCUUCCCCUUGAAGUGUGCGUAGCUCGGGAUGCGUGGACCGUGGAGGCGUCGUAGCCUCCCGUCUCGCUGGCACGUGGGUGUCGUGUCCCCCCUCCCCCCAUCCGGGCGCCCCGGGCUCACCACCAUGUCUGUAGGCUCUGCUGUGAUGUCUCACAGGCGGGGUCAGAAUGCUUUAGAACCCUGUCCAUUCACACUUCUCUUCUACAAACUGAAACAGUGGUUUUGGUGCACAAACAGCAGCACUAUCCGUGACAGCCCAUAGACCCUUGCACGGACACGCUGAGGUCCUGCCACAUGACGGGAGUGACUCCCAGACAUGCCCCACCGCGUGGACCUGCCCGGGGCAUGUGCCGCUCGGAGACAGGAGCCACACGGCACCGUGUGAUUCUGUUUCUAUGAAACGCCCGGCAGAGGCAGACCCAGGCUCAGAGGGCAGACCUGGGGUCACCGGGGCUGGGGAAGGGUCGGGGUCUCUCUGGGGGUAACGAGAAGGUUCUGGAACGAGGUAGAGGGGGCGGUUGCCCUGCACUGUAAAUGUGCAAAAUGCCACUGAGUUAUUCACUUUAAAAUGAUGAAUUUCAUGUUA